rnacentral:rRNA from 1 species
ACUUACGGCAAUAACAUGGUAAAUACACCAGUUCCCGAUGGAUCACUGAAGUUAAGCAACGUUAGGUGUGGUUGGUAACCAGAUGAGUCACCAUUUGUACAAUCCCGUGCUGGGUUUU